UGAAGACUGAGGUAUCUGUAGAAGUGAGGGU
rnacentral:piRNA from 1 species